rnacentral:tRNA from 1 species
GGGGAUUUAGCUCAGUGGCCUAAAGCACCUGCCUGGCAUGUGGGAAGUCAUGAAUUCAAUCCCCA